AGAGUUUGAUCCUGGCUCAGAUUGAACGCUGGCGGCACGCUUUACACAUGCAAGUCGAGCGGCAGCAUGGGACUUCGGUCCCGAUGGCGAGCGGCGAACGGGUGAGUAAUGCGCGGGAAUGUGCCCAGUAGUGGGGGAUAACCCUGGGAAACCAGGGCUAAUACCGCAUGUUUUCUUCGGAACAAAGCGGGGGAUCUUCGGACCUCGCGCUAUUGGAUCAGCCCGCGUCCGAUUAGCUUGUUGGUGGGGUAACUGCCUACCAAGGCUACGAUCGGUAGCUGGUCUGAGAGGAUGAUCAGCCACACCGGGACUGAGACACGGCCCGGACUCCUACGGGAGGCAGCAGUGGGGAAUAUUGGACAAUGGGGGAAACCCUGAUCCAGCGAUGCCGCGUGGGUGAAGAAGGUAUUCGUAUCGUAAAGCCCUUUCGCAGGAGAAGAAAAACGUGCAAUAACAUUGCACGUCCAUGACGGUAUCCUGAGAAGAAGCACCGGCUAACUUCGUGCCAGCAGCCGCGGUAAUACGGGGGGUGCUAGCGUUAAUCGGAAUUACUGGGCCGUAAGCGUGGCGCAGGCGGCAACGCAAGUCAGAUGUGAAGCCCGGGCUUACCGGAAUGCGUUGGAACUGUGUGGCUAGAGUUCCGGCAGAGGAAGGUGGAAUCCGCGUGUAGCGGUGAAUGCGUAGAUGCGGAGACAUAUGGCGAAGGCAUCUUCUGGCCGAUACUGACGCUGAGUCACGAAAGCGUGGGGAGCAAACAGGAUUAGAUACCUGGUAGUCCACGCCCUAAACGAUGCCUGCUAGCUGUCGGGGUUCGCCCUCGGUAGCGAAGCUAACGCGUUAAGCAGGCCGCCUGGGGAAUACGGUCGCAAGAUUAAAACUCAAAGGAAUUGACGGGGACCCGCACAAGCGGUGGAUGAUGUGGUUUAAUUCGAUGCAACGCGAAAAACCUUACCCGCUCUUGACAUGUCCGGAAUCCCGCAGAGAUGCGGGAGUGCCUU
rnacentral:rRNA from 1 species